rnacentral:rRNA from 1 species
AUUGAACGCUGGCGGCAGGCCUAACACAUGCAAGUCGAACGGUAACAGGAAGCAGCUUGCUGCUUUGCUGACGAGUGGCGGACGGGUGAGUAAUGUCUGGGAAACUGCCUGAUGGAGGGGGAUAACUACUGGAAACGGUAGCUAAUACCGCAUAACGUCGCAAGACCAAAGAGGGGGACCUUAGGGCCUCUUGCCAUCGGAUGUGCCCAGAUGGGAUUAGCAAGUAGGUGGGGUAACGGCUCACCUAGGCGACGAUCCCUAGCUGGUCUGAGAGGAUGACCAGCCACACUGGAACUGAGACACGGUCCAGACUCCUACGGGAGGCAGCAGUGGGGAAUAUUGCACAAUGGGCGCAAGCCUGAUGCAGCCAUGCCGCGUGUAUGAAGAAGGCCUUCGGGUUGUAAAGUACUUUCAGCGGGGAGGAAGGGAGUAAAGUUAAUACCUUUGCUCAUUGACGUUACCCGCAGAAGAAGCACCGGCUAACUCCGUG